rnacentral:rRNA from 1 species
UCGUGGAGUGAUCUGUCUGGUUUAUUCCGAUAACGAACGAGACCUUAACCUGCUAAAUAGUUACACGAGCUAUCUUUGGUUCCCUUGUGGUCCCAAAUGGCUCUGUGGCAAACUUCUUAGAGGGACUAUUCGUGUCUAGCGAAUGGAAGUUUGAGGCAAUAACA